GAGAGGUUCCCUAGUUGUAAUGAAAGGACCUAAGAAAAAUGGGUUGUACUACUUGAUGGGUGAGACAAUUACUUCACAAGAAGCUAAUCUCCUUAGUGUUACUGAUGACAAAUCUGAAUUGUGGCACAAAAGAAUGGGGCAUAUAGGAAAUAAAUGUUUGAAAUAUUUGAGUGACCAAAAGUUACUUGGUAAAGGUCUUAUUGAACCAGUAAACUUUUGUGAGACUCGCUCGUUUGGAAUGUCUCAUAGGGUGAGUUUUGAGGUGGGUUCACAUAUAGCGAAAGGACCUUUAUAUUAUGUCCAUGCAGAUUUGUGGGGGCCUGAAGAACAUCCCAGCUUUGGUGGAAAUAAGUCCUUUUUGUCCUUAGUAGAUGAUUACUCUAAAGUAUGGGUUUACCCCUUAAAGGCUAAAUCUGAGGCUUUUCAUAAAUUCUGGACUUGGCUUAAAAUUGUGGAAAAUCAAUUGGAUAAGUUAAAAACUCUGAGAACGGAUAAUAGUCUAGAGUUUUGUAACGCGGAAUUUGAUAAUUUUUGUAAGCAAAAGGGAAUCAUGAGACAAAGGACGGUUAAGUAUGC
rnacentral:lncRNA from 1 species